CAUUAAAAGCUCAACAUAAAAACUGUAUUUAUUAUUAUAUUCGUGUUGAGAGCAAAAAAAAAAUUUUGUUUUAAAUAAUAUUCCACAUAAGUGGAACAAAUAUGAAAAAGAAAAACACAGUUGUUAUUGAUUUAAGUAUACAUGCGUUUGAAGGCCACUGAGUGUGCGCAUGUUUGUUUUAUUGAUGUUAAAAUAAGUUUGGGUUCUUGAAUUUAAUUUUAAAUUCAAGUAAAUGUUAAACUAAAGGAAACAUCAAGAAUAUAAUAGAAAUAUGGAAAAUAUAGG